GGAAGCAUAACUCAAUGGGUUAGAGUGUGAAUCUUUUAAAUUUAAAAUCAGUGUUCGAGUCACUGUGUUUCCA
rnacentral:tRNA from 1 species